CGCUGGCAAACAAAUCCAUUACAAUAGCUACCUAAAUAUGAAGUAACCUCAACUGAGGAGUAAUAUAGACGUUUAAUUUGAAAACCUCUAUCCGGUUUCCCUGACUUCCGCUUGGAAUAUGUAAACGUUAUUGAAGUGGCAUUGUCUGACUCGUUAGUGACUCAAGUGAGUUGCAGUUAGCGGUAGACCUAUAAUGAACAGUCCAGACAGUAGAAAUCCUCAAACAUUGCGCGGGCAGUCAACCAGAUUUGAACACAAUCAGACCAGAAUGUGACUUUUAUGCGUCUACACCCGUGUUUUCAAUGCAAUAUUCGCAUUCUGAAGGCAGAAAUCGCAUACGUUUCAAGAGUAGACGACAUGAGCAGCGACAAUCAAGCGAACAAGUUUUUCGCACUUGAUCGUUUGAGAUCCACACAUCCAUAAUUAGUUGUUAAUCAACAGUCCUGAUCCAGGAAUCGGAUUGGCUAUUUGCACUUCAGGGAAACACUGUCACUACUGCUAAGGAAUGUAUCCUAGUCCAUCUACUAUCCAGCUUCUUCUCACCUCAGUGUCAGCAGUCUUGAACUGGGUGCGAGGAUGCUGUGGCCAUUAUUGGAGACGUUACACCUCAGAAGAGGAUACGUUAUCUCGUCCUGUAAGAGAAACCCAACCAGCACCUCUCUCCAGCUCUGUGAGACCCUGGGUUUGGGAUGUUCAUCAUGACCUAUGGUUGAACUGCCGAAACUGAGCUCUGGGGUUUUUAGAUAAGACAGUGAGUGCAUUCCUAGGUUUUCUGUUAAUUAGAACUGUCAGCUAAGUGGUGAUCGAUAAUGUUGAGGGGUCAAAAGUUACCUGGGAGUGUGUUAGUAAGUUAGAAUGAACUUUUCACCUCACUUUGUCCCUGUCGAGAGGAGGGGUUUCUGUUAAGCAAUGAAAUGACGUCAUGUUUUGUAUAUAAACUGUUGCUCGUGGGAACGUGGCAGCGCCC